CCCUGUCAGUUAAGGACCUGGCCAGUCAGAACCCUGUCAGUUAAGGACCUGGUCAGUUGGAACCUUGUCAGUUAAGGGCCUGGUCAGUUGGAAGCUUGUCAGUUGGGCCCAGUCAAUGGGGGCCUGGUCAGUGGGGACAUGGUCAGUGGGGACACACACAGGGCCAGGGUGUGGGGAUGUCCAAUGCAGGGAGGAGGCGCAGACAGCAGGAAGGAGAGAAGAAAGGAAGGAGCUUCCGGAGUACGGAUGCCUACGACGUCACAACGCGUGGCGCCAUUUAUACUCCAUCGCCAUGUUCGCUGCUGCUUUCCCACGUGAUUCUCUACUCAACUGGCCCCAAAACCAUCCCUGUACUACCACGAAUAUCUGGCCGUGGCUCUUUGAUGGCAGUUUUUAUCCUGCCGUAGAAAUUAUCCUUGAACAGGAAAAAGUCCCCAACCCAACGUCUGGUCACUCGCCACUCUCAUCUGUCUUUAUAAAGAGCCACUUCCAAAUUCUGGGUUGCUUUUUGGAAAAGUAAUAUCUGUUGCGGUAAAAGACUGCAUCUGUGAUCUCAACUCUCUACUGGAACUGUAUAGAGGUGAUGCAUGGCAGCUAAGGCAGCCGAAGAACUCGCGUCCUGCGCUCCUGACCGCCAUCACCCCUGCAGUUCCAUCUUCCCUCCUCCCACAAGCCCCCUGCUCCUCAUGACUAUGAGCCUGACGCCUCGCCAAGCACAAAGGCCUCCCUUCCCGACUUGAAGAAGGUUGUGGCUCACAGUGAUGGAGCUCCUGCCCACGUGGGGACCCUAGGAGCCGUAGCGCUCCAGCUAUGCAGCUCUGCCCAGUGCACCUGGCUCAUCCACCAUCAAGAAGCUGCCAUCCCACUUGUCGUCCUAGUCAUCAUCACUGCCCUGGCUGGCCUGGUUGCCAUCAAGGAGUUGCCGGGACCAUGGCUGCAGGGCACCCCUAACGCCUGGAAAGCCCACACUGGCUGCUGGAAGGCAUUCUGUGGUGACACCUGCUGUGGCACCUGGAAAGCACUGAGAUGUGGCUUCAAGGAGGCAGCCACUGCACCAGGCAGAGCCUCGAAGCCUCUGGGUGGUAUGAUGGCCAUGACACAGUGGGCAGAGGCACCAGGGCAGCUGUGGGAUGUUGGACCUUUCCAGGGAAGUGGAUCAUUGCAGAUAGAAGUCCAGGGUUGCCGCGGCGAGACCCUGUGACUCAGCCCUUGAUGUCCUGCUCCCUACUCCGGCUCAGCGCUUCAUGUCCUCACAGUGAGAUCACUCUCAAAUUCUCCACCAUCGAGUGGUACAGUAGUGAAAUCCACAGUGCCACCAUCCCCCGCAUGGUCAUCCUGGUCACUGUGGGGGCACAUGGCACCUGUAGUUCCCCUCCCCUCCCAGGGCCCGGGUUGAGGCCGGGGACCUCUGGUCCUGGGAACUGUGCCCGCCCCAAGAGUGGGGCUCUGUCCCACAGGUUGGGCGAGAGGCCACAAGGCAUGCCACUGAUGGCCGGGGCCACAGGGGCACCACGCUCACCGCUCUCUGGGGAAGUCUCAGAGUGAACAGCUUUCCUGUUGACGAUGACUUCCCAAGACCCAAGAGCCAUCUGCGGCUGCGGAGUGGCUGGCCAGGUGCUGCCCGGCGAGAGGAGUCGGAUGCAGGUGCCAUUGUGUAGAGAAAUGUGUCCAGACUUGCCUCUUGGUUAUCAUGGGACACCAUAGCUCCCGGUGUCGGGGCCCUGAUGGAGCUGCCGAGCUGAUCCAGGGCAGAUGUUGAAGUGACAGAAGCUCAGCAUCCCUGUUCAAAGUUGUAGCACAGGAACCAUCAGGCCCUGAGGCCAUCCCCUGGAAAGCAUCCACUGGAAGCUUUGGCAUGGAAUUCCAGCACAGGUACCUUCAGGGAACUGGCAGGUCUAUUUCUAGAAGUGUAUCUAUGUAGAGGAGGAAGAGGUGUGGGAAGAAAUCCCAGUAGUGGGGCUGCAGGGACCCAGGCGCCCUCUAUUAUCAACUGUCCCAGGAGGUGACUCGGGGGGGACCUGGUGCUGUCCUGGGCUGGGCACGGCCUCACACUCUGAGCCCCGGAGGUUCCUAGAGAAUAACCUUCUGCCCUGGACUCUGCAGAAGCCCCCAAAUGCCUCUGAGGGCCUCCGCCUCAGGGACAGCCUGGCCAGGCCAGAGUGUAGGAGAACCAGGUGACCAGGCUCCAGUUCCAGAGGGGCCCCCUGCAUGGGCCACUGGAGCUGGGCCAGUGGGUAGGAGAGGGUUAGCCAAUCCCCCUUGGAGAGAGGCUUAAUGCUGGGAAACACCCAGAGAGGCCUGGGUGCUGGGGUCCCUCACUCAGGUUUGGCUGUACAGGAAAAAGGAAUACCCAACUUCUCCCCGAAGCCCAUCAGGUGUCCUUGCAGGGCCAGGCUCUGCAGAUCUGGGUCUCUGGAGGCCUUGGGGUCUCUCUGUGCUCUGCCUUAGAUACCGAGGACACCCCUGCAGGCUGCGGAUCCCAGAGCAAGGGGUGUGUGCAGCCAGCGGGCGUAUCCUCCAGGAUGGUAACACAGGGCUUGGGGCUGGCUCAGGGCUUCCUGCCUCACGUCCUCAUGCCAGAGCUGUGUGGCCUGGGAUGCAGCCGUGAUUCGGGGCUCGGGUGGAAACAGGCUCUCACUUUCACAUGACCCCCUUGCCACCUCACACAGGGGCCUGUGUCCCCAGUGGGUGAGACUGUGGAGUCUCCUGGGCACGGGUCCCCCUCUGCUCUCCGGGGCCGUCCACUCCAUGCCAGGACUGGGCCAUUUCCAUGCCCAGCUGGACUCUUGGUUCUGGCUCUGGGCUGGGGCUCCUGCCAGGAUCUUCUCCCCAAAUCCUCUGGAUCAGAAACACUGAUUCUCUUGUUCCCCUGGCAUUCUUGGAGGGGCACUCUGGAGCGAGGGGCACCUGCUCCUCCGGGCAUCUGUGGAUGCUCACAGGCAGGGCAGGGAGCUCACACCGAGUGGGGAGAAAGUGUAAAGAGUGCAGGGCGCGCAGAGGGGUCUUUCUCCAGCCCCUUCCUGUCUGAGCAGCAUGUCCAGUACACAUGCGCUCAGCACCUGACCAGAAGACUAGGCAGGUGUAUUUCUAGAAGUUUCUCUAGACGAGGAGUAGGUGCGUGAGGAAGGUCCAGGUAGUGGUGCUGCAGGGGACUCGGGCCCUCUCUACUUUGGAGCACCCCAGAGAGUGACUCGGGAGGGGACCUGGUACUGGAGCCUCCCCGGGCAUGGCAGGUCCUAGCGCCUCCUUAUGAGUUCUUUCAGAGAGACUUGAAGGUGCCUGAGAAUAACAGUGUCCUUUAGGGCCCAGGCCUGGGAGAACUGCUCCUGAACCGAUUUCCACAGGCUGGACUGGGCAGGUUCACCAGGCACUCCAGGGACAGUGGGGGCAGCCUGGAAGGAGUCGGAGCCCACACCCAGUUUACACCAUAGCUACCUCCCACUCGGAGGUGCUGGGUCCUUUCGCAGCUGGGUCCUCGUGGCGUCCAGCUGGGCACAGGCCAGGGCCAGAAGGAAGCCUGGGUGAGGAGGUGCCCACCACACUCCUGCCUUUGAUCUGGGUCUUGUCGAGGUGGGCUCCCUGUCUGGGAGGACGCGGUGUCCUUCCCAGCACAACAGGCCUGGUCUGACCCUCCAGACUGAAGCAGAGGAUCGUGGGGACAGUGUGAGGGCACUCUCCUCAGGCCAGGCAGGCUCUGUCCUGGGCGCCCACCCCACGGAGCCGCUGUGAGUAUGAACAGGAGGACCGUCUACCCAGUCAGCGCAGAGCGGGCCCUCAGUGAGCACUUGGGGAUGACCCUCCUUGGGAGUCGCCACCCACCAGAUAGCGACUGUCCCCAGGCCAGCAGGGAGAGAAGAGAACAGGUCUCGCUCUCCUGAGUCUGAUCAUGCAGCUGCGCUGAGAUGCGCCUCUGGCCUAGAAAAGCAUCCUGUGGGCAGAACCACACACACCGCUGUGUCUCCAACUGCUGUACGACACAGAGCCCGGCGGGUACGUGGGCAUUCGGUAAUGGUGACAUUGUGGAGGUCACGGCGCCCCUCACAAUGGAGGGCCGAGGGGCGGCCUCCUCUGUCCCCUGAAGCAUUGACGCAUGUGCGUGAAAUUCGUAAUGUGUCUGUGUACUUGACCUUGCAGGUAGAUAUGGGUGUGCGCGCAUCUCUCCUCCGGCCAGGCCUGGCUGCCCCACUCGUGGGCCCCCAGGUCCUCAGCACUGUCACUCUGGAACCCAUGCUGAGCACCAGAGCAUCCACAGGUGCACCCCAGCCUCUGCCUUCAGACAUGGUGGUCCUGGGGAUGUAGGUAGGGCAGGGGGUCCCCCUGAGGGGGACCCGGUGUGUACAGUGCUAAAUCAGCAUAGCAGGGCCAUAUUCAAUGCACCUCACCUCCUCCUCCUGGUAGCUCUCUGGGGUACAGUGAUUCAUCCCCCCUACAAUGGAAGAAAGGAGGCUUCAAGGACAAACCCCCUGCCUGAGGGCACCCAGCAGCCAGCUGACCUGGUCCUGACUAGCUCCCCACUAACCAGGCCCCCACUCAAGAGGUCCUGUUGACUGAAACCCGACUGACCAUGUUCUGCUGACCAAUCCCUGCAGACUGGGUCCCCCCAAUAAGGCCCCAGUGACCAAGCCACCACUGACCAGGUCCCCAGUGACCCAUCUCCCCAGACCAAAACCCAUUUUCUUGAGUUACGUGGAGCUCACGAGGGUUCAAAGCUGAGCGGGGACAGGCUAAGCUUCACAAUCAGGACACUUUGAAUGUUUCCAGGGAUUUCCACAUCAUUCUCCAAGGUGAUGUUACCAAUUCGCUCUCCCAUCAUUAAGGCUCCCAUCAUUAAGGGCUUCUUCCUGCCUCCAAAACUGUUGGCAUUGCCGGACUUUUAUCUUGGGUAAUGGGUUUGAAAUGCCUCAUGGUGGCUUCCCAUCCCUCAUAACUGGUAAGGUUGGGUGCCCUUGUGUUUUCAUCCUGUGCCACCCAGGUGCCCGCCCCCACCUCUUUGCUGUCUCUGCUUCAUAAGAAGAUCUUGUUGCCCCGUCAACUCCAAGUGAUCACAGGUUCAGGGGUGCCCCCAAAAUGAGGUGCUUAGUGUUUGAUGAAUGACGUUGAGACCAGAACAGGUCAGGAGGCAGAUGGCCCUUGUGAACAGAAAGGGUUUCUUCCAAGUCUAGACAUGACCAGAGAGAAAAAGGGGAGAAGGGUAAGCCUGAUUUUGAAAGAUGAGAAUUGGACAUGAAGGAGGAGAGGGGGAAGAAUAAGCAGUUGACUAAAAUAUAUACGUGGUGAUUCCGUGCAUAUGAUCAAAACACGAUCAUGUGAUCAUGUACACUUCUCAAGCUCAAAUGGAAGAAGCACAAAUGGAAAUGACCCUCCUCGGGCAGCCACCCGCUACCAGAUAGCGACUGUCCCCUAGCAGGGAGGGAAGAGAACAGGUCUCACUCUUCUGAGUCUGAUCAUGCAGCUGCGCUGAGAUGAGCCUCUGGCCUAGAAAAGUGUCCUGUGGGCAGAACCGCACACACUGCUGUGUCUCCAACUGCUGUACGACACAGAGCCAGGCGGGUACUUGGGCACUUGGUAAUGCCCAUUCCUUAACAUAUAAGUUUCCCCAUUCCUCCCACAAAGCACAAAACCCUGGGCUGGACAUCGUACAUAAAAACGUGGGACUGGAUAGGAUUCCGCCUUUAAAAACUAGAAAGCUUGUGUUUACCACGCGGAUGAACCCGGAAGACGUUCAGUGAAAUAAGCCAGGCACAGAAAGACAAACACGGCCUGUCUCACUUGAAUCUAAAAAGCUGAACUCUCGGGAGCUGAGGGAGGGGAGGAGGGAUUAGACAGAUGCUGGUCAAAGGGCGCAGGAGGAAUUGUUCAACAGGGUGACUCUCAUGUAUUCUCGAAAAAUGCUGAGCAGGCUGGGCGCAGUGGCUCACACCUGUAAUCCUAGCACUCUGGGAGACCCAGGUGGAUCACUUGAGGCCAGGAGUUUGAGACCAGCUUGGGCAAUACAGAGACCUCAUUUUUUUUUAAUAUAUAAAAAAAUUGCUGAGCAGAUUUUAAGUGUUCUUCCCACAAAAAAAAAAUUAUGUAUGGUGACGGGUAUGUCAAGGACGUAUUAGCUUGAUAUGUGUAUUUUACACUGUAUUCCUAUGUCAAAACAUGUUCUAUGCAUAAUUACAAUUUUGUCAAAAUAAAAAGUGAGAAAUGGGAUCAAAAUAGAAAAUAAGACUGAGUGGUGGAGAGGAGAGAGACACACAGGGGAUUUCGGGACUCACGGAAUGACACAAAAGUGAGUUAUGUGGGUUUUUUCCGAGUCGAAAUCAGCCCAGACUUGGACCUGAAGAAGCUGAGAACCCGUGAACGCCACCAGGCACAGUCAAAAAAGCAUUUAAAAAAAAAAAAAAAAAAAAAAAAAAAAGCCCAAACAAAACCUGUUCGCUCUAGCCAAAGGACCAGGAGAGGGGGCAGCCCAGCGAGAUCCGGCACAUUUAGACAAUUACCGCUAACUAAGCCGGUCCUUGGCCUUGGGUUGAUUUUUCUGCUACCUCACUUUGGGGCCGGGCUGGUCCUCCACCCUCCCAGGAUGCGUUUCUCAAUCCAGACGCUGGGGGGCGCCGGUACAUCGCGAGCCCCGCGAGGGUCAUUCCUGGGACGCCGCGGAGUCUCCUCCCCUCCUAGGGACACAGAGCUUCCAAGGGCCGCGCUUGUAGGUUUUCAAGAGGUCGCCAAAAACAUUCAAGACCCAGAAGGAAAAAAACUGUAACAGCACACACUUCGAUGUUUGACCACGUAAAAGCAAGGCUACAAAAUCAAACACCUGAAGGGAAUGUCUACUUAGCUGGACAACCGUGUCCACCUGGAUUCAUUCACCGUUGGCUCCAGAACUCCCCCAACGGUGCCAGCCAUCAUGUUGGAAAAUCAUUUAUGGGUUGGAUCUUCUCUAUUGUGUGUGUGACAG